GACGUAGGAGGCAAGCGUUAUCCGGAUUUAUUGGGCGUAAAGGGCAAGUAGGCGGUUCUCAAAGUUGGGCGUGACAUCUCCCGGCUCAACCGGGAGGGUGCGUUCAAAACUAGAGGACUAGAGGGCAGGAGAGGGAAGUGGAAUUCCCAGUGUAGCGGUGGAAUGCUCAGAUAUUGGGAAGAACACCAGUGGCGAAGGCGGCUUCCUGGCCUGCACCUGACGCUGAGAGGCGAAAGCUAGGGUAGCAAACGGGCUUAGAUACCCGUGUAGUCCCUGA
rnacentral:rRNA from 1 species